rnacentral:lncRNA from 10 species
CUGUGAUAUUGUGAAAUAUAUAUUUGGUCUUGUCUCAUUUCUUGGCAUACAACUUCUAAAAUCUUUGGACUUUCCAGAGUGAUGCCUUUUUGUAUGCUGGCCAGCAGCCCCUAGGUAGCUUCAGGAUGGGGGCUGGUGACAGGAAAGGCCAAGGCAGGCAUAAGAGGGUUGGGACUUUCAGCCUCACCUCUCAACCUCCGGAGAGGGGAGACAGGCUGAAGAUUAAGUUCAUCACCAAUGGCCAGUGAUUUAAUCAGUCAUGCCUACAUAAUGAAGCUUCCAUAAAAAUUCUGAAUGACUGGGUUUGGAAAACUUCUGGAUAGUUGAACACAUGGAGGCUCCUAAAGAGUGAUGUUCCUGGAGAGGGCCUGGAAGCUCUGCACCACUUCCCACAUGUCUGGCCCCAUGCAUCUCUUCAUCUGUAUCCUUUGCAAUACCCUUUAUAACAAACCAGUAGACAUGAGUAUUUUCCUGAGUUCUGUG